UACCAUGACAUAAGAGGUCUCAAGUAGAAGAUUGCAAGAUAACCAUAUAGUGUAGUAGUGUCAUGGCAGAAUAGCCACACAAAGAGUGUGCAAGUGAGUCUUGUAUCAAAUUGAGUAGUGAAUAAAGGUUUAGGUUUCCAUGUAGAGAGCUGAUCUCACGCAUUGGUGUCAAUGCGAAGGUCUUCUUGAAGUAGUGUGGAUAAAGGUGUACAAAAGAAGUGGUAGCACACUACUUUAGUUCCACUUCUAUAAAAUCGGUGUCAAGUUCGGGACGCUGAUUUCUCAACAGUUUGGAUUGGAAACCAAUCUCAUUAAUAGCAGAUGAAAAACAAAGAUGAGAUUUUUACUGUAUCAACUAUCUGGUUGAAGUACUGAUUUGUUCGAAACGUGUGUAAGAAAUAUGGUUCCAUUAUAUCAUAAUUUGUGAUUUUGGUGAUUGAGUGAUAACAUGAUCUUUAAAAUUAACGGUUGGUUAAGCAUGUGACUUAUAGAUUUUACGUGCAAUCCAAAUCACAGUAUUUAAGUGAUAGAAAGCAUGGUACCUUAAUUUAUCCUAUGACAUCUAAGUCAGAUAUUCAAGUCAUGGUGUAGUGCCGUGAUGUAGCUUCUGCAUUGAAACAUUCCCCACCAAACGCGCAUUUGUCUGCAGAUUCAGCAAGCAGUGCAUCCUGGAAUUGAAGCAAGCCUCGAGAAAACAAUUUGGGAAGGAAAGAGAUGGCGGA
rnacentral:lncRNA from 1 species